AUUGAACGCUGGCGGCAUGCCUUACACAUGCAAGUCGAACGGCAGCACGGGUGCUUGCACCUGGUGGCGAGUGGCGAACGGGUGAGUAAUACAUCGGAACAUGUCCUGUAGUGGGGGAUAGCCCGGCGAAAGCCGGAUUAAUACCGCAUACGAUCUACGGCUGAAAGCGGGGGACCUUCGGGCCUCGCGCUAUAGGGUUGGCCGAUGGCUGAUUAGCUAGUUGGUGGGGUAAAGGCCUACCAAGGCGACGAGCAGUAGCUGGUCUGUGAGGACGACCGGCCACACUGGGACUGAGACACGGCCCAGACUCCUACGGGAGGCAGCAGUGGGGAAUUUUGGACAAUGGGCGAAAGCCUGAUCCAGCAAUGCCGCGUGUGUGAAGAAGGCCUUCGGGUUGUAAAGCACUUUUGUCCGGAAAGAAAUCCUUGGCCCUAAUACGGUCGGGGGAUGACGGUACCGGAAGAAUAAGCACCGGCUAACUACGUG
rnacentral:rRNA from 1 species